GUGGAUUCAGUGAUUUUUUUAAAAUCUAUUGUAUGUAGUCCUGCUCAUCAAAAAUAUUUAUUAUAUACUCUAUAAGGUCGAUGAAGCUUGCCUCUUUCUGCAUGUUACAUACAUAUCUGUACUAUUAGUAAUUUAUGUUGUUUAGUUAUUAAUAGCUAAUAUUUCAAUUCAUUUCAUUAUUCACAAAAAUUGGCUCAUAAAUUUGUGUGUAUCUAUAAUAGUUUAUAUGCAAACUUUCAAUAUAUUAAAGUAUAUUGGGAAUACUAAUUAUCAUGCCCAGCUAUUGAUUCAGUAGUUCGGCUCCGAAUUAGACAGUCUUAGACCGACUAUUUAUUUUGUGAAGGUCUGGCCACCAUCAAAUAAAUCAGUGGGCUCCAAUCAAAGCUAAGCUAUCUCGUACUCAGAUAAUCUGAAAAAAAAAAUGCUUUCCAUAUAUUUUACAGCAGUAGGCGAGUAUUUUGAUAGGUCAGAAAACGUUCGCAACACUCCCCAAUAGGCAAUGAAAUAGAUUCAAAUUCGACUGUGCCCGUGUCUUGUUUCUUGUGUAGAAUAGUACCAUAGACGGCAUCAGGAUGAAUUCUCCGUGUUGUCAGAUCUCGUAUGCGUUACGCUGUGGCCCCGUCGGGCCCUGUCUGCCCGAACUGAAAUAUUGUGGCUGCUGUCCUUCUGCUCCGCCUGCCUGCUGUUGCAAUUUCUACUAUGUCCCAAAUACCUGUGGUUGCUUUAACGAUGUCUGUCCUUCCAUGCCUGGUUGUGGUUGGUAAGAUCGAUGUCCUUACCAGUAUACUUGUAUGUAUGGGAACAGCAAACCGAUGUCGAAGUUGAAAAUGGAUUCUGGAAAAUAAACACAUAUUAUACAAAAUUCAACACUACUCAGCAAUAAAUUAAUACCGUAAUAUGCCAACCCCAAA